GAUGGCAAAGGAUUAAAAAGUCAACAUUUGUGUUUGAAUUACAGAUGACUAUAUACAACAAAUGACAUUGUAACAGGCAGAUAACAGAUACAUUGGGGCGACUCAAGGAGUGCAGCAGUCCCCGUCCACUUUUUUUAGUGCCCUUGGUUUCCUAUGGGGAUUUUUAGUUCUCGUUAAAGAAUUAUAAGCUAUGAAACCUAUCAGGUGAUUCAGAACAUUACAAACUUUGAUUUGAAUAAAGAAGUCUUUGAAAAUCGGACAAAAAGACAAAGGUACCAGACAGCUUUCAUAAGAACAAGGAAUACAAUCGCAACUACAAUCAAAUUAAAAAACAAUGGAGAAAUAUAAGACUGUAGAAGGGGUCUUUUUGGUGCAAUUUUCUUCGUGAUUCUCUGAUUGGUGAAAAUUUCUGGUGGAAGGAAUCAUGGGUAAUGUAGUUUUUCACUAGGAAUUCCACUAAUAAACGACAAAGGCAUCUCAUAUAUGCUAAUACAUGAGGUUAACAACAUACCACCAAAUGCCAUCAAUUAACAACCUCACAGUAGAUCUGUUUUUAGCAGUUCAUAACUUAAAAUCAUUAAAAAUCAGUUCCCCGUGGAGAAAGUAAAUUGGGAUUUUUAUUUUGACUCUUGCUCUCUAUAACAGGUUGUUUAGCAACAAAUAACCAAUCAUAACCCUGAAUAGCGCCUGCUUCAUUAAAUAUUUGGGAGUUUAGUACAGUCACAGAAACUCUUGCAUUGUAUUUAAUUUCAACGUUUGAGGGAAAAAUACAUAGUUCAAACAGAAAUGAAUGGAAAAUGCAUUGAUAACAUUGCAGAAUAGACCAAAUUAUUCUUACAAAAAGCCUAUUCCGGACAGAGUGGAUGGUGCAUUGAGGAACGAGACGAGUCGAUAUUUAAACGCUGUGUUCCUCCAAUCAAUAUCGACAAAUAUCCAAAAAAGAAGGUUAACCCAGAGUUUACAAAUGUAGAUUCUAAAUAAACAGGGUUUCAGGCUAAAGUCUGAACAGUACAAAACAUGAAAAAAGAUAACCGAAGGUUUAGAUUUAGAAUGGGUUAACAAUUUUAAGUGCAAAAAGUCAUACUGUAUCAGCUGUCAGUUUUUUCCCCAUCAUUUUUUCUGUCUUUUUUUUUUUCUAAACAAAAAUUACUCCAAAGGCCUAAUACAUGGUUAGAUGAACGGACUCUAAACAUCAUCAAAACUAGUUUGAUUUUGGAACCUUUAAUACAUUUCUUAAACUGAAAAACAAAUGUAAAUGUAAUGUAGAUGACCUUUAAAACAGACAAAAAUGCAUAGCUAAAAUAUUCAACAGAUCGCAAGAUCUGGAGAGUGUUGAUGAAUUGGCUCUGAAAAUAGAGCCUCUAAUGUAUUAUACAGGUGAAGGAGGUGGGAAUGACAUGAGAGAAUGUCCAGAUGGAAAAUAGAAAUGCUAAUAUAUCACGAGCAAAGAAAUGCAAAAUGGAGUGAACAGAUGUUUCACUCAGAGAGGUAUGAAGGGCUCCAAACAGGCGGACACACAAAACUAUAAUGUUCCUGGAGCAUAGGUACAAAAUGUCCGACAAAAUGUAACGAAAGAUUAAACCGUCUUGAAAAAGCAGGCUUGAAAAGGCAAAACAAUGCAUGCUAGUAUUAUCAUAGCACAAGGAAAAGCAUAGGUGAAUAUUUGAAUAUGAUGGCGAUCAUGUAAUUUACCAACCACACGAUUGUCUGCUAAAUUAUAUAUAUAGACUAUAAAAGAACAAAUAAAAAACACUCAACAGCAUCAUUUUCCAGUCCUGACGUCAAAGCUAAGUGCUGCUUCAGUACAUGGAAAAGGUAUUUUUAUUUUAUUUUUAGUUUAAAGAUUACUUUCACAAUAACUCUGAUACUAAGCUCUAAAUGUCUACCUGAAUGAUGAUCCCAGUAAGAAAGAUGAGCUUCUAAUCACAUUUAUCUUCUUUACAUCAAACAGGUUAUGAGCCAAAAAUGUCUUGCAAGAAAUCAUGCGGGCUUACAAACAUCAUAGACACAUUGAAAACAUAAAUUCAAUUGAAAAUGGUUUUGCUUUAUACUAUUGGUGUGUGUCUCUGAGUAAGUCUAUGUUGCUUUUAUUAAAGACUCACAGUAGAAACAGCAAAUAACUUAUUAUAUUGAUUUACUAUUUGUUAAAACUGGCUUUGUCAAUCGUAAUUUCAAAGAAAUAAUAGCUUAGAAUCACAGCUCAGGAGCUUCUGUGUGUAUAAGAGGUUGAUUAUCACUUCAUUUAAUUGUAAUAUUAUAGUUAUUGUGCUGGUGUUGCUAUUUAACUAAGUACUUUUUUAUAUAAUAAGACUCAUGUUUCUAGGUAAUUGGACAAUCUGGACUCAAACAUGCCUUUGGAUUUGCUAAUGAGCAGGAUGCGAGGUAGACUACCGAUUGACUUGGUUGAGGAAAAUGUUUGUAACAUGGAGGUAGAGGAAGAUUCAACUUCACACUACUACAGGAGAACAACUACAGAGUAAAACCAAGACAAACAUUCAUCCUGAGUCUGCUGUGCGCAUCUGUGUGUAAUGGUGUAGAACUUCCUCAAUGCCUAGGGCUCGCCGAAACCAGAUGCCUUGUCCUUCAGCAGAUCAAGACACAGAUGACAACUCCAACUUCCUUCGGAUGUCUGUGUCAU